rnacentral:rRNA from 1 species
GACGAACGCUGGCGGCGUGCUUAACACAUGCAAGUCGAACGGAAAGGCCCUGCUUUUGUGGGGUACUCGAGUGGCGAACGGGUGAGUAACACGUGAGUAACCUGCCCUUGACUUUGGGAUAACUUCAGGAAACUGGGGCUAAUACCGGAUAGGAGCUCCUGCUGCAUGGUGGGGGUUGGAAAGUUUCGGCGGGUGGGGAUGGACUCGCGGCUUAUCAGGUUGUUGGUGGGGUAGUGGCUUACCAAGGCUUUGACGGGUAGCCGGCCUGGGGGGGUGACCGGCCAAAUUGGGGACUGAGACACGGCCCAGAUCCUUAGGGGGGGAAGCAGGGGGGAAUUUGGAAAAAGGGGGGGAGGCCGGAGGAGGAGCCGCGGGGGGGGGAAGGAGGCCUUCGGGGUGGUAACCGCCUUCGCCAGCGACGAAGGGUGUCUGACGGUAGAGGGAGAAGAAGCACCGGCUAACUACGUG